UCUCAGUUCGGAUUGUAGGCUGCAACUCGCCUACAUGAAGUCGGAAUCGCUAGUAAUCGCGGAUCAGCAUGCCGCGGUGAAUACGUUCCCGGGCCUUGUACACACCGCCCGUCACACCAUGAGAGUCGGGAACACCCGAAGUCCGUAGCCUAACCGCAAGGGGGGCGCGGCCGAAGGUGGGUUCGAUAAUUGGGGUGAAGUCGUAACAAGGUAGC
rnacentral:rRNA from 1 species